rnacentral:pre_miRNA from 1 species
UGGAUGGCUAGCCCCAUCUGGAAGACUAGUGAUUUUGUUGUUGUCUCACUACAGUUCAACAACAAAUCCCAGUCUGCCGCACGGUGCCGGCCACUGCA